CGGCUCAGUAACACGUGGCUAACCUGCCCUUGGGACAGAACCAACCCCGGGAAACUGGGGCUAAUGUCCGAUAGGCGAAGAACUCUGGAAUGAGUCUUCACCCAAAGGGCGCUUGGAUCAUGCUUCCAGGUGUCGCCCAAGGAUGGGGCCGCGACCGAUCAGGUUGUUGGUGAGGUAAUGGCCCACCAAGCCUAUAACCGGUGCGGGCCGUGAGAGCGGGAGCCCGGAGAUGGGCACUGAGACAAGGGCCCAGGUCCUACGGGGCGCAGCAGUCGCGAAAACUUUGCAAUACACGAAAGUGUGACAGGGUCAUCCCGAGUGCCGACCGCUGAGGUUGGCUUUUACCUAGUCUAGAAAGCUGGGGGAAUAAGGAGAGGGCAAGUCUGGUGUCAGCCGCCGCGGUAAUACCAGCUCUCCGAGUGGUGUGGACGUUUAUUGGGCCUAAAGCAUCCGUAGCUGGCUGUUCAAGUCCCCUGUUAAAUCCACCGAUUUAAUCGUUGGCUUGCGGGGGAUACUGUUCGGCUAGGGGACGAGAGAGGCAGACGGUAUUCCCGGGGUAGGGGUGAAAUCCUAUAAUCCCGAGAAGACCACCAGUGGCGAAGGCUGUCUGCUAGAACGCGCCCGACGGUGAGGGAUG
rnacentral:rRNA from 1 species